AUACGGAGGAUGCAAGCGUUAUCCGGAUUUAUUGGGUUUAAAGGGUGCGUAGGCGGUUUGCUAAGCGGGAGGUGAAAUGCCGGCGCUCAACUUCGGAAGUGCCUCCCGAACUGGUGGACUUGAAUGACUCUGCCGUGGGAGAAAUGUGUAGUGUAGCGGUGAAAUGCUUAGAGAUUACACAGAACACCGAUUGCGAAGGCAUCUCACGAAGGGUUGAUUGACGCUGAGGCACGAAAGCGUGGGGAUCAAACAGGAUUAGAUACCCUGGUAGUCCACGCAGUAAACGAUGAUGGCUAACCGCUGGGCUUAUCAGUUCAGUGGCCAAGCGAAAGCGAUAAGCCAUCCACCUGGGGAGUACGACCGCAAGGUUGAAACUCAAAUGAAUUGACGGGG
rnacentral:rRNA from 1 species